rnacentral:rRNA from 1 species
CCUACGGGAGGCUGUAGUGGGGAAUUUUGGACAAUGGGGGCAACCCUGAUCCAGCCAUGCCGCGUGAGUGAAGAAGGCCUUCGGGUUGUAAAGCUCUUUCGGCCGGGAAGAAAUCGCUCAAGCUAAUACCUUGGGUGGAUGACGGUACCGGAAGAAGAAGCACCGGCUCACUACGUGCCAGCAGCCGCGGUAAUACGUAGGGUGCGAACGUUACUCGGAAUUACUGGGCGUAGAGCGUGCGCACAGAUGGGAAAUCCCCGGGCUUAACCUGGGAACUGCGUUUGUGACUGUGGUGCUCGAGUGCGGCAGAGGGGGGUGGAAUUCCACGUGUAGCAGUGAAAUGCGUAGAGAUGUGGAGGAACACCGAUGGCGAAGGCAGCCCCCUGGGUCGACACUGACGCUCAUGCACGAAAGCGUGGGGAGCAAACAGGAUUAGAUACCCCAGUAGUC